AAAAUUUUAUUUCUUAUGCCCUUUCCUCGGAUGGGUGUGUGUCUAUUCCAUGUUGAAAAUGGCCAUGACUAGAUCCACACUCAUCCAAGAGGAGGGAAAUCACUGCAAAGUUUGCA
rnacentral:pre_miRNA from 10 species